GACAGAGGCCACAAGCGUUAGUCGGAAUCACUGGGCUUAAAGCGUGUGUAGGCGGAUCGUUAAGUGCCUUGUGAAAUCCCACAGCUUAACUUUGGAACUGCUUGGCAUACUGGCGGUCUUGAGCCAUCUAGGGGUUGCUGGAACAAACGGUGGAGCGGUGAAAUGCGUAGAUAUCGUUUGGAACGCCAAUGGUGAAAACAGGCAACUGGGGAUGUGCUGACGCUGAGACACGAAAGCCAGGGGAGCAAACGGG
rnacentral:rRNA from 1 species